GGUUGGUGCAAAGGUAAUCGCGGUUUUUGCUGUUACUUUCAGUGGCAAAGUAUAUCUAGCACUGCCUGAUUUGAAUAGGCAUCUCCUUGGUACCAAGUAACUUUAGGUUGUUUCCAGACAUUUGCUUGCAAAAAAUAAAUGCUGUGCUCCAUUAAGGACACCCAAAAAGGAAAUAGCACAUCAGCUCUUCAAGGCAAUUUUCAAAGAAGCUCUAAAAUAUUUGCAUAAUAAAACCUAUGCUUAGUUUUAAAGAUAAUCAUCCUUCUAAUUAUUAGGAGGAACAAUAUAGGUGGAUAUGGAUAUUGCUUUAAAAACUAGACUCAUGACCUGGAAUGGAGAAAUUCUCAAGGUAGAGCAGGAACGCUGCCUUCCCUGGGCAUUCUCACAUCUGCUCAAUGGCAAUGCAAACUUGGGGCCAGAGAACUUCUUUCUCAGGAAGAACUGCAAUACAGCGCCCUCUAGUGCAACAAAUCCGUGUGGGUUUUUUCUCCUUUGUCUUACAGGUUUAGAUGUCAACCGUUUGGCUUAAGUAUAAAAAUAUUACAGCCUGCGCCGACUCCGCACCACCCACUGUGAUGGAGGCCGCAGCCCAGGUCUUCGUGGAGAGCCCUGACGUGGUGUACGGCCCGAGGCUAUCGAGGUGCAAUACGAGUACAGGACGACGCUUCAGCCGCGAGGGCGUCCUCAAGGUGCACCUACGACCACGCGCUUCACCUUCCGGACCCCCCACCCGUGCCCCGGCUCCGGGUCAUACUUGUCGGCUGGGGCAGGAACAACGGCUGCACGCUGACCGUCGCGGUGCUAGCCAACCCACCGCAUCUGUCCUGGCCCACGCGCAGUUGCCGCAAGGAGGCCAACUACUACGGCUCGCUGACUCAGGCGGGCACCUUGAGCCUGGGCUCGGACACCGAGGGCCAGGAGGUGUUAGUGCCCUUCAGUGCGCUGCUGCCCAUGGCGGCGCCCAACCACCUCGUGUUUGAUGGCUGGGGCAUCUCCUCACUGAACCUCGCCCAGGCGAUGCUGCGCGCUAAGGUGCUGGAAUGGGAGCUGCAGGAGCAAGUGUGGCCACACAUGGAAGCCCUGCCGCGUCAGCCUUCCAUCGACAUCCCAGAGUUCAUCGCGGACAACCUCGUCCCGGACUCACGCCCGCAGCAGCUGGAGCAGAUCCGUAGGGACAUCCCAGACUUCCGGUCUAGCUCGGGGCUGGACAAAGUCACCGUGCUGUGGACGGGCAACACAGAGCGCUUCUGUGAGGUGGUUCCGGGCCUCAAGGACACGGCCCAGAACCCGCUGCACACCACUGGGCUCGGCCUGCAGGUGUCUCCCUCCACGCUCUUCGCCAGCAUCCGGGAGGGCUGUGCCUUCCUCAGUGGGUAGCCGCAGAACACCCUGGUGCCCGGAGCGCUUGAGCUCGCGUGUCAGCGCCGGGUUUUCGUGGGCGGAGAUGACUUCAAGUCUGGCCAGACCAAAGUCAAGUCCGUGCUCGUGGACUUCCUCAUCAGCUGUGGCCUCAAGACCAUGUCCAUCGUGAGUUACAAGCACCUGGGCAACAACGACGGGCAGAACCUGUCGGCGCCAUUGCAGUUCCGCUCUAAGGAGGUGUCCAAGAGCAACGUGGUGGACGACAUGGUGCGGAGCAACCCAGUGCUCUGUAGGCCCGGCGAGGAGCCCGACCACUGCGUGGUCAUCAAGUACCUGGGUACCUGGGUGACAGCAAGCGCACUGGGUGAUUAAACCUCGGAGCUAACGCUGGGCGGGACCAACACACUGGUGCUGCAUGACACGUGCCAGGACUCGCUGCUGGCCGCACCCAUCACACUAGACCGGGCGCUGCUGACCAAGCUGUGCCAGCCCGUGAGCUUCUGCGCUGACGCUGACCCCGAGCCACAGACCUUCCACCCCAUGCUGUCCCUGCUCAGCUUCCUAUUGAAGGCGCUGCUGGUGCCUCCGUGCAGCCCGCUGAUCAGUGCGCUUUUCCGCCAGCACAGCUGCAUCAAGAACAUCCUCAGGGCCUGCGUGGGGCUCCCGCCACAGAACCACAUGCUCCUGGAGCAUAAGAUGGAGCACCCAGGGCCCGGCCUCAAGCAACUCGACGCGUGGCUGCCGCCUGCCCUGUGUCCAACAAGAAAGGACUGGAACCCGCUUCCACCAAAGACUGCACUGAUGAUGCCAAUGGGCACCCACAAGUGGAGGAAGCCCAGAUGCCCACCACCUGAGGCCCCUGUCACACAGCUUCCCAGCCCUUCCUCUCUGCUGGCGCCCCAGGAACCCACCAUUUCAGGCCACCCCAAAGACAAUAAAGCCGCUGCCACUCUCAAAAAAAAAAAAAAAAUUACAAAGGUUUGAAUGACAGAGGAGUAAGAGUA